GACGAACCGUGCGAACGUUGUUCGGAAUCACUGGGCUUAAAGGGCGCGUAGGCGGCCCGCCGCGUCCGGGGUGAAAUCCUCCCGCUCAACGGGAGAACGGCCUCGGAUACGGGCGGGCUGGAGGGGGGUAGGGGCAGGCGGAACUGUGGGUGGAGCGGUGAAAUGCGUUGAGAUCCACAGGAACUCCGGUGGCGAAGGCGGCCUGCUGGACCCCGAUCUGACGCUGAGGCGCGAAAGCCAGGGGAGCGAACGGG
rnacentral:rRNA from 1 species